UCCUACGGGAGGCAGCAGUGGGGAAUAUUGCACAAUGGGCGGAAGCCUGAUGCAGCGACGCCGCGUGAGGGAUGACGGCCUUCGGGUUGUAAACCUCUUUCAGCUCCGACGAAGCGUGAGUGACGGUAGGAGCAGAAGAAGCGCCGGCCAACUACGUGCCAGCAGCCGCGGUAAGACGUAGGGCGCGAGCGUUGUCCGGAUUUAUUGGGCGUAAAGAGCUCGUAGGCGGCUUGUCGCGUCGACUGUGAAAACCCGCGGCUCAACUGCGGGCCUGCAGCCGAUACGGGCAGGCUGGAGUUCGGUAGGGGAGACUGGAAUUCCUGGUGUAGCGGUGAAAUGCGCAGAUAUCAGGAGGAACACCGGUGGCGAAGGCGGGUCUCUGGGCCGAUACUGACGCUGAGGAGCGAAAGCGUGGGGAGCGAACAGGAUUAGAUACCCUGGUAGUCCACGCUGUAAACGUUGGGCGCUAGGUGUGGGGGGCCUCUCCGGUUCUCUGUGCCGCAGCUAACGCAUUAAGCGCCCCGCCUGGGGAGUACGGCCGCAAGGCUAAAACUCAAAGGAAUUGACGG
rnacentral:rRNA from 1 species